rnacentral:misc_RNA from 1 species
GAAAUGCGAUAAGUAAUGUGAAUUGCAGAAUUCAGUGAAUCAUCGAAUCUUUGAACGCACAUUGCGCCCGCCAGUAUUCUGGCGGGCAUGCCUGUUCGAGCGUCAUUACAACCCUCAGGCCCCCGGGCCUGGCGUUGGGGAUCGGCGGAAGCCCCCUGCGGGCACAACGCCGUCCCCCAUAUACAGUGGCGGUCCCGCCGCAGCUUCCAUUGCGUAGUAGCUAACACCUCGCAACUGGAGAGCGGCGCGGCCACGCCGUAAAACACCCAACUUCUGAAUGUUGACCUCGAAUCAGGUAGGAAUACCCGCUGAACUUAAGC